UCCUGUGAGAAUCCACCCAAGGUGGAAAAUGCAAUCAUACUAAAUGAGAAGCCUAGGUGUCUACCUGGUCAGAUGCACAUUACAAAGCAUCAAACCUUUUGAACUGUUUGGGGAAGAAGAAGUGACAUAUUUCAAUCGGUACUGGUCACAACCGCCUCAGUGUGCAGGGACCCAGGACCAUAACAUGCAGAAAUGGAAAGUGGUCACCACCACCAAAAUGCUUAGAGCCCUGUACAUUAUCAGCAGAAAUGAUGAGAAGACAUAAUAUAAGAUUUUGAUGGACUCAUGAUACAAAAAUGUAUUAUUCUGCAACAGGGGAUGUGAUUGAAUUUGACUGUCUUCGUGGAUAUCGUAGAAAGACACCAGCACAUACAUUCCGAGCCAUAUGUCAGGAUGGGAAACUUAUAUCCUGAAUGUGGAUAAAACAAUGAUUAAGUUGCAGUCCUAAAAUUAAAAUAUGUACAUUUACUCAGAAUUUUUCAUUAUCAAUCCAAUUCUCAGUUUAUUUUUUCAAGAAUUGUGUAACUCACUUAUAUUCAUAAAUCACAAUUUGUAUUGAAUGUGAUGAUAAUCAGAGGGAUGAAGAAAUCACUUCUUAAAAGCACCUCAUUAAAACUUGGCC